CCGGCGCGGCCAUCGUCGACGGUGAGGAGGAGGAGCACGGUGGGAAGGAGGAGGACAGCCAGGGGAGGAAGGACAGCAUCAACGUCUCGUCUCCGUCUAGAUCCUCCUGUACCCAACACGAGAUGGAGAGAGGGAUGUUUGGAAGGAGAUGGGAGGAACAGGAGAAGGGAAGGAGAAGUUGUGCCACAUCCAUCCCGUCCACUGCAUCAUGCGCGGCGACCGGUUGGGUUCUGGGUCGGGAACUAGGAUUGGUGAUUUGAGUGGCUAAUUUCGAGAGUGGUGUCGACAGCGAGAGGCGUCUAUGAUAAUGGAGGCAGCGACAAGCACAAAUAUGCUGUAGCUUUGAGGGGUGUAGAAGCUAGAGAGAACUGAUUAUGUGAGGAUACA